UUGGUCGCCUCGCCACAUAACCUAAAAAGCAAUUUCGAUCCAUGUGUGGCCGUUAUAGAGUAUCAAAGUUUUUCUGCAAACCUUGUUACGUAAUCAGUUAUGAAACACAUAGUUUCUGUGCAAGAACAAGAAGAUCGGUCGACCGACAAGAAUUAUUACCUCCAAAGCAAAAGUCACAAAAGUCGCAAAAACGAAAAAGCAAAAGUCUUUUGAAGCAAACUGCGCCAAAUUAACUAGUUGGAAGCAAAGCUUUAACGACAAAGUUUAAAGAAUUACGCGAAACUGCACACGCGGUGACUGCAAUACUUUUGCUGCAGACUACGCUAACUACAGGCCACUUUUAUGCUGCUUCUGAUUGGCUGUAAGGCAAUUUCAAUGUUCAACCCCAGAUCACGUUCAGCGCCGUUGCGAUCAAAUUGAUUUCGACAGCCAGUUUUAGUAACGGCGAUUUUCGACUUUCUCGCAGUCUUACCACGGUGUUUCCAGACGAUUUGUUAUUUUGUUUUGAUCCUCUACGAUUUUUUUGGUUUUAUGGCUGUCGACAGCCAAAUUAGAACGUUAAUGGUCAAUGCAAGCACUGGAAGUAUUGCUAUUUUGUGCGUUGAGCUUGUCAGGCACGGCAUGUUAUGAAAGCAGGUGCAGCACUUAACCCAGUCUGCACUGAUGUGAGGACCCACACCAAUGUUGGAGAAGUCCUAAGGUCCUUAUGAAGCACUGCGUCGCUGGACGAUUGUGCAUGACGACAUGCAGUAAAGCAACAGGGCAGAUGAAUUAUUGCUCUAUGCAGCUCCAUGGCCGGAACGCAAAUUUAGCGGGAAAUGCGUGGAUGUCGACAUCCAUCAUUGUACUUGUUAUCCUGGUUUUAAUUAGCUGUUGAUGCAUUUAGUAGCCGCUUUUGCUGUCCAUGCUGGCAUUU